GACUCUGUACAUGGAAGACCCCAAAGAUCUACGGGAGAGAUUGGUGCGCUAAUCUUUUCCAUAAUAUCAUAAUCAACUGGACUGGACGACUGGUUAGCAAAACUUAGUAGCUGCUCAAAUUUAUUACACGUUUUCUUCCUUGUCCGACCAAGAAACGACAGCUGGUCCACCUUUGAUCUCCCCCGAUCAAACACUUGGCGAGUCUCGACGAGAUCGCUGCUUCUUCUCUAUCUCCAAGGAUCUGCAAUCAGACAUACAUAUAUUCGAUGCGGCGUGGAUUCAAUUAUAGGGUUUCACUUUUGUUAUUUCUCUCUUACAUCACCUGCUUUCGUGGUAAUUUCUCAUUUCCUUUAACACUUUUAUUUUUUAUCUUCUGGUUUCUCUAAUAUAAUGCAUUUCUUGAUUACCAUUCUUGUAAUUGCAGAAUUAUAUGCAGAUUUAGAUGAUAAUUGUGUUACUAUUUGAUCAAUAUAAUUAGUCACACACCUCAAUGUUUAAACAAAAUUUUUUAAGAUGGUUUUGACUUCGCCGAGACUCGAUCACUUAACCACUUUGCUGGACAUGAUUUCUUAGAUUCUGAUAUUUAUGUUUUGGAUAUCAAAAAUUACUGUGGGCACAACAUGUGCUGCUUAACAACUAAGGAUAAAUGUUUUCGCUGCUUAUGAUUUUGAUCUAUUGAUGAUAUGCUUGUGUUUUCACUUUUUUUGCUAUACUAUAUUGGCAGAAGUUGUGUCGACAGCGGUUGUUACACUUCAGUCAGUCGAAAUUUUUACCACACAUGAGUUUAUAGGAUCAGACCCGACAGUUUACUUUAAUUGUAAAGGGGAGGAGAAGAUAAUUUUGCCUGAUUUGAAGAAAGCACAUGUCUUAUAUGCUUAUAAGGGUCAGGAAUCUUGGCAGGUUUGUUAAUUUUUCUUUUUUCAUUUAUGUAUAGAGAGAGAGUAGACAUUUCUGCUUGGUUCUUGAUUCUCGAUUGUAAUUCCUCUUAUGUUAUUUCCUUGGUCAUUUUAAUUUAUAUCAACUCUCUAAUGGUUUGCUUUAAAGUUAAUCAUUACCCUUCAUCCUGUGUCUUAAGUGAUUAUGGUGACUUCUCAAAUCUUAUUUUAAUGGUUUGCAGCAUCAUGUAAAAUAAUUUUCCAAACUACUAUUUGAUGUUACAUGUCAGCAACAAGGUUGAAUGCUUGUUAACCAUUUGACAGGAAUUUAGCUAUGAUUCCGUCAAGUAUUUUGGAACCUUUUUUCACAUGAUGCGCAGUGAAAUACUUCAUGUGCACUGUUUAGUGUUUGUAUGAUUUUCCUCAAGAAUAAGUUCUGGCAUGUCUAAAAUAUUUCAAAAGCAGGCAGCAACCUCUGUGCAUUAAUUCCACAGCUCAUUUUAUGGAAAAUUAACUAAAACUUAGAUGUUGUGAGAACUGAGAGACGUAUACCUUUCUGAACUAAUGUUUAGUUUGCCUGUCACAUUUUUCAGCCACUGACAGAAUUUCCANUAUGACUUAAAAUAAUUUUUAUACUAUUACAAAUUUACAAUAUUAAUUUGUAUCAAAAUAAAAUUUAUUUUCACUUAUUAUAAGAGGAAAGAGUACAGAAUGAGCGUAACGACUCUGUACAUGGAAGACCCCAAAGAUCUACGGGAGAGAUUGGUGCGCUAAUCUUUUCCAUAAUAUCAUAAUCAACUGGACUGGACGACUGGUUAGCAAAACUUAGUAGCUGCUCAAAUUUAUUACACGUUUUCUUCCUUGUCCGACCAAGAAACGACAGCUGGUCCACCUUUGAUCUCCCCCGAUCAAACACUUGGCGAGUCUCGACGAGAUCGCUGCUUCUUCUCUAUCUCCAAGGAUCUGCAAUCAGACAUACAUAUAUUCGAUGCGGCGUGGAUUCAAUUAUAGGGUUUCACUUUUGUUAUUUCUCUCUUACAUCACCUGCUUUCGUGGUAAUUUCUCAUUUCCUUUAACACUUUUAUUUUUUAUCUUCUGGUUUCUCUAAUAUAAUGCAUUUCUUGAUUACCAUUCUUGUAAUUGCAGAAUUAUAUGCAGAUUUAGAUGAUAAUUGUGUUACUAUUUGAUCAAUAUAAUUAGUCACACACCUCAAUGUUUAAACAAAAUUUUUUAAGAUGGUUUUGACUUCGCCGAGACUCGAUCACUUAACCACUUUGCUGGACAUGAUUUCUUAGAUUCUGAUAUUUAUGUUUUGGAUAUCAAAAAUUACUGUGGGCACAACAUGUGCUGCUUAACAACUAAGGAUAAAUGUUUUCGCUGCUUAUGAUUUUG
rnacentral:lncRNA from 1 species